CACUUUGUAAACACUCAGGAUAGCCUGAGAGAGGGUUGGCAUUGAUUGUUGACCUCUCUUGGUGUUGAAAAGUCUGGGUGUUUAUGUAUUUUUCCACAUACACAAUUGAAUGUCUAUAGAAUGUAAUGUAGGCUUUUGUGAGCCUUUAAAUGAUAAAAUACAACUUUCAACAACGGAUCUCUUGGCUCUCGCAUCGAUGAAGAACGCAGCGAAAUGCGAUAAGUAAUGUGAAUUGCAGAAUUCAGUGAAUCAUCGAAUCUUUGAACGCAUCUUGCGCUCCUUGGUAUUCCGAGGAGCAUGCCUGUUUGAGUGUCAUUAAAUAUCUCAAAAAGCUUGUGCUUUUUUUGGCAUGGGUGUUUUUGGACGUUGGGAGUUGCCGGCUGCUGAAAAAGUGGUGUGCUCUUCUGAAAAGUAUUAGUUGAGGGAGCUUUGCACUCUAUUGGUGUGAUACACUAUCUAUGCCA
rnacentral:rRNA from 1 species